rnacentral:rRNA from 1 species
UACGGGGGGGGCAAGCGUUGUUCGGAAUUACUGGGCGUAAAGGGCUCGUAGGCGGCCAACUAAGUCAGACGUGAAAUCCCUCGGCUUAACCGGGGAACUGCGUCUGAUACUGGAUGGCUUGAGGUUGGGAGAGGGAUGCGGAAUUCCAGGUGUAGCGGUGAAAUGCGCAGAUAUCAGGAGGAACACCCGUGGCGAAAGCGGCUCUCUGGGACGGUACUGACGCUGAGACGCGAAAGCGUGGGGAGCAAACAGG